rnacentral:tRNA from 1 species
GCCUCCGUAGCUCAGGGGUAGAGCGCCUUCUUGGUAAGAAGGAGGGCACGAGUUCAAAUCUCGUCGGAGGCU